GCUGCACAGAGAGUCCUGUUGUUUCCAUUACACUACAAAUAGUGGGACUCGGUCCAUAAGCUUGUACAGCUCAGUUUCAAAGAUUCUGGAACAACUUUCUGGAAGAGACUUUCACCAGCUCAGGGAGAAGUGAAGAAAUGAUUCUGUCUCCCAAAUUGAGACACGCUGAAAGGAUCACAAGAAGCAUGCCAGAAGUAAAAGACUCAUAACCUUUAUAUGCUCCAGAUUAUAGGAACAGAAGUUUCUUGGAUGAGUAAAUGGCAUUAGAAAGGAACAAUCUCCAGAGGUCUAGAUUCUUGAAAAGUGUAGAGAGAAAAUAUAGGAGCAAUUGGAGCCUAUAACAUCAAGAAUGUGAAUGGUGCAUCUUUGUUUAUAACCUGUUACAUGACUAUGCUGGUUGAGAAGUGUGAAGUCAAACCUGAUGUUGCAUCACCAUUCAUUUCCCCAGAAGAAAACCUACAGUAGGAGUUGAAUGAAUAAAG
rnacentral:lncRNA from 1 species